AUCUUUAAAGUUUUUAAAUCUUAUAAUUACAUUAAUUUGUUGUUCAGCUAAAUACUUUUGAUAUCAGAAAUUAUUUAUUAGAAAAAUUAGUUAAACCGACGAUACUUCACAUUCAAUUCAUCAUACUUUGCAUUGGGAAAUGCCAAUUAUGUCUGGUAUGGAACCAGUCGAAGAUUGCCAAAGGGAAGUAAUUUGCUUAAAAAGUUUGUAAUAACAGAAUCAAAUCGGUAAUUGGCAAAUGGACUAUUACCUAAUUAAAUGGAUGUUUUGUUUGAUAUAUCUUAUCCGAAGAUAGUACAAUGGAUUGCAUUUAUUUCU
rnacentral:lncRNA from 1 species